rnacentral:rRNA from 1 species
UUGUUGGUAAGGUAAAAGCUUACCAAGGCUUCGAUCAGUAGCUGGUCUGAGAGGACGACCAGCCACACUGGGACUGAGACACGGCCCAGACUCCUACGGGAGGCAGCAGUGGGGAAUUUUGGACAAUGGGGGCAACCCUGAUCCAGCCAUGCCGCGUGAGUGAAGAAGGCCUUCGGGUUGUAAAGCUCUUUCAGCCGGAACGAAACGGUUACGGAUAACACCCGUGACUACUGACGGUACCGGAAGAAGAAGCACCGGCUAACUACGUGCCAGCAGCCGCGGUAAUACGUAGGGUGCGAGCGUUAAUCGGAAUUACUGGGCGUAAAGCGUGCGCAGGUGGUUUUGUAAGUCAGAUGUGAAAGCCCCGGGCUCAACCUGGGAACUGCGUUUGAAACUACAAGACUAGAGUGUGGCAGAGGGGGGUGGAAUUCCGCGUGUAGCAGUGAAAUGCGUAGAGAUGUGGAGGAACACCGAUGGCGAAGGCAGCCCCCUGGGUCAACACUGACGCUCAGGCACGAAAGCAUGGGGAGCAAACAGGAUUAGAUACCCUGGUAGUCCAUGCCCUAAACGAUGUCAACUAGUUGUCGGGCCUUUACGGGCUUGGUAACGUAGCUAACGCGUGAAGUUGACCGCCUGGGGAGUACGAUCGCAAGAUUAAAACUCAAAUGAAUUGACGGGGACCCGCACAAGCGGUGGAUUAUGCGGAUUAAUUCGAUGCAACGCGAAAAACCUUACCUACCCUUGACAUGUAUCGAAGCCCGCAGAAAAGCGGGGGUGCCCGAAAGGGAACGAUAACACAGGUGCUGCAUGGCUGUCGUCAGCUCGUGUCGUGAGAUGUUGGGUUAAGUCCCGCAACGAGCGCAACCCUUGUCAUUAAUUGCCAUCAUUUAGUUGGGCACUUUAAUGAGACUGCCGG